rnacentral:rRNA from 1 species
CGAUUAGAGUUUGAUCCUGGCUCAGAGCGAACGCUGGCGGCAGGCUUAACACAUGCAWKUCGAACGGGCUUCUUCGGAAGUCAGUGGCAGACGGGUGAGUAACACGUGGGAACGUGCCCUUCGGUUCGGAAUAACUCAGGGAAACUUGAGCUAAUACCGGAUACGCCCUUAUGGGGAAAGGUUUACUGCCGAAGAUCGGCCCGCGUCUGAUUAGCUUGUUGGUGGGGUAACGGCCUACCAAGGCGACGAUCAGUAGCUGGUCUGAGAGGAUGAUCAGCCACACUGGGACUGAGACACGGCCCAGACUCCUACGGGAGGCAGCAGUGGGGAAUAUUGGACAAUGGGCGAAAGCCUGAUCCAGCAAUGCCGCGUGAGUGAUGAAGGCCUUAGGGUUGUAAAGCUCUUUUACCCGGGAUGAUAAUGACAGUACCGGGAGAAUAAGCUCCGGCUAACUCCGUGCCAGCAGCCGCGGUAAUACGUAGGGGGCUAGCGUUGCUCGGAAUCACUGGGCGUAAAGGGCGCGUAGGCGGCUGACUUAGUCGAGGGUGAAAGCCCGUGGCUCAACCACGGAAUGGCCUUCGAUACUGGUUGGCUUGAGACCGGAAGAGGACAGCGGAACUGCGAGUGUAGAGGUGAAAUUCGUAGAUAUUCGCAAGAACACCAGUGGCGAAGGCGGCUGUCUGGUCCGGUUCUGACGCUGAGGCGCGAAAGCGUGGRGAGCAAACAGGAUUAGAUACCCUGGUAGUC